GCAGAGGAAUGGACCCAACAUGGUGCCUCCAUUAAAGGCUGGGGACUUAGGCAUGCUGAAAUGAAUGCCUUGGUUACACCGUUUAUGGUGACACAGAGUCCUAGUAUUUUAAGUGGAAGAUCAUUAACUGAAACUUUACUGCACAUAUUGGACAAAAUGAGCUCAACACAUUACUCUUUUGCAUGGGUUUUGUCAGUGCAAAGCCACUAAUUUUCUUUAAAUAACAGAAGGUAAUGAAGCCAAGACAGAGAUUGUCCAUCUAUAAUACUGCAGGAAUUUAUUUUUCCUUGCUAUUAAAAGCUGCUGAAAGCCCAUUUUUUAGCUUAUGUGUUAUUUAGCUCACGUGAACCAGAGUGAAAGGAAAUGUUAGGCAGAUGUCUUAGCUGCACUAAUAGGACGGUUGAAAUAAAUGGAGAGCAAACCUGCUAGUUCUUAAUCACAAAAUAAUGUACCUGCCUCUCCCUGUGCUGCCGGCACAAAUCUCUUGGUAAGAAGUGUUACUGGGAGCCCUGUGCACUCUUUCUUGAUGGAAAGUAAAGUAGCUGCUGAAAGAUUUCCAUAGUUCUAUUAAAAGCUAACAAAAACUAAAAAAAACUUCAGAAUUGAUUAUAUUUUUCUAUACAAAUAAUGAAAGUUUUGGAGCUGCUUGAGAUAAAACUCUUUUUGGUAAGAAACAAAAAAAGAAUGUCUGCUGUCAGGAAAAAAAAACAAAACAGGAAGGGAAAAAUGACCCAUUCAGAUCUAAAUAAAGUGUGUCUUUACAUUGUAAAGGUUGUCUCUUUUAAAACAAGCUAAAAAGCUGCUUGACAUUAUGCAGUAUGGUCACAUUUUUUGUUUAUAUGUGUCAACAUGAUGUAUAGAUCUCUUAAGAUGUCAAGCGCUCCAUACUGUAAUUUCUAAGUUACCUUUGAAAUAUGAAACAUGAUUUCCUAGUCACAGUAUGACUGCUCAGGCAGUAAGUGGUGGUUUCUUUGGUAUUAGUAACAGAGGAGACCAUGCUGUUGUUGAAGCAAGUGCCCUCGGAAGUCCUUGAAGUACCAGGAAUAUGCACCAAGUGGCUGCAUGCCUGGGGAAGCAGCUGUGUUUUGGGCCACAUCUGCCUGCUCCUGUGGGAUGUCAAAUGCCCUUGGUCCUCCCUAGGCCUGCAGGAGAUCCCUGCAGCAUUCGGCCAUUGCCUGGAAGAGCUUUGAUUAAUUGAAAGGAUUAAUUGCCUUUCCUCAUUUAAGAUUGUUAAAAUUUGUAGUGAAUUCAUUGUUCUGGGGGCAUGGAUGGCUCUUCUGGUCUGCACUGGCAUCCAACACUAGAUCUGCCAUUCCUGCAUCCCAUGGGACGUGUAUUACCGUGAGUUGUAACUGGUGGACAAGGGGUGAGACACUGAUUUAGGUAACAACUGGCAGCUACCUGGGUAGGGCAGGUCUGUUGGGGCCUAAGACGUGCCCACCUUGUGCUGGAGACAAGAUAACCUGCUCCUGCAGUAUAGUUAAAGCUAUCCCUAAUUGCUGUGUUUAUUAGAAUCAUUGUGAGCCAGUGCCAAGGUCUGUUCUUUAACCUGGGGGCUAACUGCUGCCUUUUGACCACAUCCUACUCACUCCUGCCAGAGGGGGUGGCUGCAGGGUGUGGCUCCUGGCCCCUGUGGACUUGUGCACCCAUGUGAGAUGAUGUUUCCUGGGACAGCAUGGGUCCCAGCAUGCCAGUGACUGUUCUGCCAGGGUGAUAGCAUCAAUGUUUGGGCCUGGCAGCAUCCCUGCAGUGUUUAUUUUCCUGGGAUAGGUGCAGCCAGCGUGUCUGCACGUGCUUGAGCCAGACCUCCCAGUGUGAUCAAAACAGAUCCUAAGCAGAGGCUCACUUCUUGCUGUGGUGGGAGAAGGGGACAAGAUGCCAUGUUUCUAAAACUGGUGUGAGAUGUGGCAAGUAGGGUUUAAGAACAACCUUCUCUUCUCUCUUGAUUGAUAUUUGCGUGACUUUAUUGUAGAUGCCUACUUGGAUUGUUUAACUUGUAUAUUUAUAGGUGAAAUUUAACAUGCUGUGGGGAACACUGUAAGCAAACCAUGUUUAAGAAUUCAUCUGGGCAGCGUCCUGUGCCCAAAUUCGCCCCAUAGCUGAAGUUCCUUUAUUCUUUACGAGCCAUUUUCUAGGGAAAUACCAACAGAUCAUGCAAAGCUUUUCUGGUAAAGCCUUUCAUGUAGUAGUUCUCUAGCAGAAAGUCAUUCAAAGGACUAAGGAAUCAUGAACUCAUGACCUAUUCUAGUAGCAUGCUUUGAAGUGGAGCCUGAUAAGAGAGGGUUUAAAACUUGCUAAUUAACAGUAAUUGUAACAGCUGUCACAUGCUGCUACUGUUUUAAUUGGCAUUAAUCACAGCUGCAUCUCUAUUAUGCUGCCACUGGGAUUCUGGUGCAUUUAAUCUCAGAAUGUGGCACCUUCUGAGAGAUUAUGAGAUCAUAAAAGCAUGAGGGCAACAUAUUUGUCAGGGUUGAAGGUUACUAAUCUGUGCUGAAAGCAGCCAAGAAGAGCAAGCUGUGCAGAGGGAUAACUGGAACCAACAGCAACACUUUGCAAAACUGAGCACAUGCUUUUUCGGUGUGUUUAUCAAAGCAUCAGCCCAACCUUAUGGUUUGUCACGGCUACCACGGAAAGUCAUGCAGAACUGUAAACUUUGGCAUUGAAGAGUCAGCAUACCAACAAAGUAACCACAUGAGGAUUCACAAAUGAAGCUUAUAAUUAUUCUGCUGUUUUCCAAAAUGAGUAUGUAUAUAAAGGAUUUCCAAGUUGGAAAACAUGGAUCUCAGAAGUUUGUGGAAACUCAGCCUGACCAAUAAACACGUUUGCUUGCA